UAUUAGAGGUUUAAGAGCAAGAAAACUAGCAUGCCUUUAAUCCUAUCAGGGAGCAAGGGGCAGAUGGAUCUCUGUGAGUUCAAGGCUAACCUGUUUUACAGAAUGAGUUCCAAAAGAGCCAGAGCUAUAAAGAGAAACUCUGUCUCAGGAAAAAAGAAAUAGGAAAACUACAUGACGAAGUUAACUUAGAGAGUAGAAAAGUAUAAACACACCACCCUUCCAGGAAAGUUUAAUAGACUUACUAGACAGAUAGCCUUGUAAAAUACAGACCAGCUGGUAUUAUCUACCAGGAAGUUUACCAAGAACCUAUUUGGAACUUAUAAAUAUUACUCACAUCCAUCAUAUUUCCAAAACUUGUAGUAAAUAGUUCACAAAAUUUGAUUAUGAGAAGUGAUGGAAUUAGCCAAAGGGAAAACAAAGAAAAAAAAGAUGAAGCAAGAGAACAAGAAAGCCGGGUGUGGUGGCGCAUGCCUGUAGUCCCAGCACUUGGGAGGCAGAGGCAGGUGGAUUUCUGAGUUCAAGGCCAGCCUGGUCUACAGAGUGAGUUCCAGGACAGCCAGGGCUACACAGAGAAACCCUGUCUCGAAAAACCAAAAAAACAAAAAGAGAGAACAAGAAAAUAAGAACAUGAAUAUAUAGACCAUGUCAAAUUCAAGGUUUGGUAAGAUUUGACCUAUAUUUUUAAAACUCAAAGUCUUCCCUCUGUCUUUCUUCUUUUCUAUGAUUGUUGCAAAUAUUUCUCCUUUACUUUUUGCUUCAUUUUUCCAUAUUUGUAUAACCAGUUUGCCCUCCUUUACUGUGUAUAUUAGUAUGACAUUGAUGUCUGAAUAUUACUUCUUAAGAUUUAUAUUUAUUUUAUCAAUGAUUAUGUGUGUGUACAUGUGGAUUUAUGCACAAGUGAGUGUGUAAGCCUUCAGAGUCCAGAAGAAGCAUAGGAUCUCGUGGAGGUGGAGGUACAGGCCCUUGUGAGACACGAGUGCUGGAGUCAAACCCUGGUCUUUGAACUGCUUAGCCCUCUUUUCAGCCCCUGCAUCUAUAUUUUAUGUCCCUUGCCAGGAGCUUAAAACCUGGUUUAACUGUCUGUUUCUAUAUAAUCUCCAAACUUCCAUUUUUAUAACCAUGUAAUACAUUAUUGACAUUUUCUGAUUUUUUUCAAUUGGUUAAAUAUUUCCCACUUUAUCUUUAAAUUUUGUGCUUGAAUGUUAUGGUAGAUGUUAAUGAUAAAUCAAUAUGAUUUUAAUAUUCAUAAUAUUAACCUAUUAUUUUAUAUUAUUCUAGGGAGGAAAAUUGUAAUUAAAAGAAGAUGUCUAUGUCA
rnacentral:lncRNA from 1 species